AUUAUGAUUUUUGUCAAAUCGAUUUUAAAAUAUGAUCAGUGUAUUUUUAGUAAUGAAUCACUGAGUACAUUCUUAUUCCUUUCAGGCUGGGGAGGGUGCAUUGCCUCAUGAAUUCUUGGAAGGUGUGGAGGGAGUUGCAGGUGGUUUUAUAUAUACUAUUCAGGAAGGUGAUGCUCUCUUACACAACCUUCAUUCUCGCCCUCAAAGACUUAUUGAUCAUAUAAGGAAUCUCCAUGAGGAAGAUGCCUUACUGAAGGAGGAAAGCAGCAUCUAUGAUGAUAUUGUUUUUGUGGAUGUUGUCGACACUUAUCGUAAUGUUCCUGCAAAAUUAUUGAACUUCUAUAGAUGGACUGUGGAAACAACAAGCUUCAAUUUGUUGCUGAAGACAGAUGAUGACUGUUACAUAGACCUCGAAGCUGUAUUUAAUAGGAUUGUCCAAAAGAAUCUGGAUGGGCCUAAUUUUUGGUGGGGAAAUUUCAGACUGAAUUGGGCAGUUGACCGAACCGGAAAGUGGCAGGAGUUGGAGUACCCGAGCCCCGCUUACCCUGCCUUUGCAUGUGGGUCAGGAUAUGUGAUCU
rnacentral:sRNA from 1 species